UACGUAGGGGGCAAGCGUUGUUCGGAAUCAUUGGGCGUAAAGGGCGCGCAGGUGGCUCUGUAUGUCUGCCGUGAAAGCAUACAGCUCAACUGUAUUGUGUCGGUAGAAACUGCAGGACUUGAGGCUGGGAGGGGCUGGUGGAAUUCCCUGUGUAGCGGUGAAAUGCGUAGAGAUGGGGGAGAACACUCGUGGCGAAGGCGGCCAGCUAGACCAGUUCUGACACUGAGGCGCGACAGCGUGGGGAGCAAACAGG
rnacentral:rRNA from 1 species